rnacentral:rRNA from 1 species
CCUACGGGAGACAGCAGUGAGGAAUAUUGGUCAAUGGACGAGAGUCUGAACCAGCCAAGUAGCGUGAAGGAUGACUGCCCUAUGGGUUGUAAACUUCUUUUAUAUGGGAAUAAAAUGUUCCACGUGUGGGAUUUUGUAUGUACCAUAUGAAUAAGGAUCGGCUAACUCCGUGCCAGCAGCCGCGGUAAUACGGAGGAUCCGCGCGUUAUCCGGAUUUAUUGGGUUUAAAGGGAGCGUAGGUGGAUUGUUAAGUCAGUUGUGAAAGUUUGCGGCUCAACCGUAAAAUUGCAGUUGAAACUGGCAGUCUUGAGUACAGUAGAGGUGGGCGGAAUUCGUGGUGUAGCGGUGAAAUGCUUAGAUAUCACGAAGAACUCCGAUUGCGAAGGCAGUUCACUGGACUGUAACUGACACUGAGGCUCGAAAGUGUGGGUAUCAAACAGGAUUAGAUACCCUUGUAGUC